CUUAUGGGGUGCAGCAGCUAGGAAACUUCUACAAUGCACGUAAGUGUGAUAGAGCAAGCCAGUAGUGAUUCUCUAAUAAUUGAGAAUCUUUUGUGAGAUGUAAAAAGUCUCACGAAUAAGGACUGGGAAAGACUGGUGCCAGCCGCCGCGGUAAUACCAGCAGUUCGAGUGGCAGCCACUUUUAUUGGGUCUAAAACAUCCGUAGCUUGCUUAGUCAGUCUCGUGUGAAAUCUGGAGUCUCAAGUUUCAGGCGUGCACGAGAUACUGCUAAGCUAGAGACCGGGAGACGUAAGAAGUACGCACAGGGUAGCGGUAAAAUGCGUUGAUCCUAUGUGGACUAACGAUAGCGAAGGCAUCUUACGAGAACGGAUCUGACAGUGAGGGAUGAAGGCUAGGGGCGCAAAACGGAUUAGAUACCCGUGUAGUCCUAGCAGUAAACCCUGCACACUAAACAUCAGUACCUCCUCGAGAGGUAUUGGUGCUGAAGGAAAGCCGUAGAGUGUGCUACCUGGGAAGUAUAGUCGCAAGGCCGAAACUUAAAGGAAUAGGCGGCGGGAUACUACAACCAGUGACGCGUGCGGUUCAAUUAGAUUCUACACCGUGAACCUCACCAGGAUCGACAGCAGAAUGAAGGCCAGUCUGAAGGGCUUACCCGACACGCUGAGAGGAGGUGCAUGGCCAA
rnacentral:rRNA from 1 species